rnacentral:misc_RNA from 1 species
CCAAACUUGGUCAUUUAGAGGAAGUAAAAGUCGUAACAAGGUCAUCGUAGGUGAACCUGCGGUGGGAUCAUUAUCUGAACCUUUUAAACAUUGUGUGAAAUACUUGGGUUAUAAGAGUGGUAUGUUUUUGUGCUGAUUAAAAAAAGUGCAGGAGGGUAUUGCUUGUUGCAGCGUGGUCGUUGUAAAAAUUCGGCCGCCUGCUUUUUUAAACUAUGUUGGUUUGUAUCUUUAUACGAUAGACUGUAUUUAAUUAUUUGCUCGAAAGAGCUAUUAACUUUUUUUACAACUAUCAAUGGUGGAUCACUUGGCUCUUGCAUCGAUGAAGAACGCAGC